rnacentral:tRNA from 4 species
GUAACUUUAGUUUAUUUGGAGAAUAUUGGUUUGUCUAACCAGAGGAAGCUUGGGCUAAGUUGCU